UAUGCUGAUCCGCGGAUUUCCC
rnacentral:miRNA from 1 species